CGGACGGGUGAGUAACGCGUGGGUAACCUGCCCCAUACCGGGGGAUACCACCUGGAAACAGGUGCUAAUACCGCAUAAGCGCACAGAGCCGCAUGGCUCAGUGUGAAAAACUCCGGUGGUGUAAGAUGGAUCCGCGUCUGAUUAGCUGGUUGGCGGGGUAGAAGCCCACCAAGGCGACGAUCAGUAGCCGGCCUGAGAGGGUGAACGGCCACAUUGGGACUGAGACACGGCCCAAACUCCUACGGGAGGCAGCAG
rnacentral:rRNA from 1 species